UACGUAGGGUGCGAGCGUUGUCCGGAAUUAUUGGGCGUAAAGAGCUCGUAGGCGGUGUGUCGCGUCGGCCGUGAAAACCUGGGGCUCAACUCUGGGCGUGCGGUCGAUACGGGCAUCACUGGAGUUCGGCAGGGGAGACUGGAAUUCCUGGUGUAGCGGUGAAAUGCGCAGAUAUCAGGAGGAACACCGGUGGCGAAGGCGGGUCUCUGGGCAGUAACUGACGCUGAGGAGCGAAAGCGUGGGGAGCGAACAGG
rnacentral:rRNA from 1 species